GGAGGGUUGAGAUGAAUUUGACCGCGGAGUAGGGUCGUGCAUGUGCGGGCCUCUGAGAUUGGCGGAAACAUAAUAGGGUAUUUUUGGCUAAAAUUUUAUAGGGUGGGGAUUUUUGAAAUUCUGAAUCAACAGGACAAGCAGCGGCCUUCAUCUUCUAGUUCAAAACCUUGAGAUUCAUGGAAGCUGAGGCCGAAGUCCACUGAAGUCUUUUUGUGGUAUAGUGCUUUCUGUAUGUCUAUGGUCUAUCUGUUCUUUUGCUUUUUGUUUAUGUAGUUCUAGAUUAAAGCAAAAAGCAUAUUUUUUCUAGCUAGAUUUUAUGUGGUUUGGAGUUUGGGCAGUAAGUUGUUUCCAGAAGACUCACUUUGUCCACCUUCCCCUCGAGUUCUAGAGUUUCAUGUCUCUACUUUCGCUUUCCCGGUUUUGCUGUUAAAAUUUCUCUUAUCUAACAAGACCGACGAUACUCCCAUAUACGAAACAGAGGUGUCUGCUUCAUUUGUUCGUCAGGGUAAUUUGGCAAAAAUUGCUGGAAAUUUAACUUAGUUUAGUUUGUUUAUGAAUCGGUCUAUUGUUCUCUUAUGAGUUACGAUACUAAUUUUGGGUUUCCUUCUGAUUUAGUAGCCAUAGUGAUUGAUGCAUGCGCUUAUUUUUAGACCCUUUGAAACCCCUAUUCUUACAUGCAUUUUUCGUCUUGCCAAGCUACUUGUAUUUCGGAGGUUGAAUCUACUUUUAUUUGCAAGUGUUCCUUGUUGAAUUCUCCUCCACCUCAUUUAUUUAUUUUUUCUUGUGUCACACUUUUUGCUAAUAAAUCAUGUAUUGAGACCACAUGAUUUGUUUUUUCGAGCCUUACUUUGCACCAUUGCGUAGAAUUUGUUAAUGAUCAAUGCCAUAGAUCAAUUAGUUACAUUUUAGUAGUUCUAUUGUCUUUGUGAUUUGCUCAUAUUACACUCCGUCAGAGGAUAUGGAAUUCAUCAGACAGAUGAAUGAUUUGGGGCUUCCUGUUUCCUUCAGCACAAACAAAGAGGCAAGUCCAGAUUUUUCUUUUUCCUUUUUAACUUUUGUUGUUUCUAUAGUGACAAUGGUGUUGCAGUGUAUUUAAUAUGUUAUCAAUGCUGUAUUGCUCUGCAACACAAUGUUGCAUUGUUGCAUAAGAAGAUAGCCAUCCGACAUCCGAAUAUAAUUUCUCUUAUGGGCCAUUGCAUUCACAAAGAAACUAUAUUUUUUGUUUAUGAAUUGAUGCAUAAUGGAUCUAUUGAAACACAAUUGCAUGGUAUCACUUUAUUUCUUAUCCAAGGUCAGUGGAAAGGAUGUUAAAAGAUAGUGAAAGAGUAACAGUUUAAAUUUGUCACCUUGCCCUAGAGGCAGCAAUGUGAGUUUAUCAGUUUGUUAAGCAACACUCAUUUAUUUUUAUUUUUUUAAGUUCUUCUCAUUUACCUGAUUUUGUAGUUUCAUGUAAUCCAUUCUAAUUUUUUGUCAUCCAUUGACUCCAAUUUUGUGAUGUAGAGGCUUAGAAUAUCUACAUGAACACUAUAAUCCUCAAUGAUCCAUAGAGAUUUUAAGUCAUCAAAUAUUCUUAUAGAUUCAAACUUCAAUGCAAAGGUAAAAAAAAAAGUCUGAAUCAAUGAGAUUAUCAUAUUUUUUCACCAAUAAUGUUUUAUUGUUAAAAUUGAGACCAAUCGGUCUCUUAUUAAGGCUCUUUAUAAUCAAUAAUAUGUUAUAUAUUGUUGAUUUACAAUUUUUCAUUAUUAAUCUCUUGUAUAACUCUUUAAUUCCUUAUUUCAUACAUAUUUUGACAUUUUGUCUUGAUUCUGAUUUGGGUGAUUCAACUCAAUUGGUAUGCCAAUUGAGCUUAUUUAUUACGUGUUGAUUUUUGUUUUUCUCUUCAUUUAAUGUCUUUUGUGAACCCUGUUGAACUUUAUAAUGUGCAUAUUCUAGUAGUUAUAAACUUUUGUGUAAAACUUUUCUUCCAUUUUUUCUUUUCCCCUAAAUUUAUCUGGUAGACUUUUAAGGGAUACUAUACUAGUACACCGCAUUCUGGUUGUAGACCUAUCAUAUGUGAUAUUUAUGUCAAUUUAUACUAGUACACCGCAUUCUUUUGGACAAUCAGAAUAACACUAGAAAUAUCCUUUGGUACCUCAAGGUUUCACCACCUUGAAUAAUUCGUGGUUUCACCACUUUGGCGGGUCGGCAGGCUGCUGUUCAGCUUCCCAAGAAUAAUUCAUGGUUUGGCGGGGUUGGGGAAGUACAACCAUUCUAUAAGAUUGUAAAGAUGCUCUUACAAAUUCCAUAUGGAAGCAUCAAAUUUGGCCUCACCAAGGGAAUUUUACCUAUUGGAGUCCCAUAAAAAUGCCUCUGCUUGGGUAUCUCAUAGUUUCAACUCACGUUACAUGGACACAGAGCCAAUGCUCACUGAUAUGGCUAUUAUGAUUUAUAGAUUUUUGGGAAGUACAGGUUUCACAUGAAUGUAUCUUAUUAAUGGGGAUGCCAUCAUACAUUUCAGCAUACAUAUCUAUUUAUGCAUGUCCAAGGGAAACAUUGAAAAUCUUUCAUCCAUAUCCAUAUUUAUUGGACGUGUUCAAUAAAGGCAUUGCACUUACAAUUAAAGUGUCUAAGUAACAUGGUUGAAAGUUAUCACCACCUAUCCAUGGUUAUGUAGUUGGCUGUUGUGGCAGUCCAGUCGACUCAAACAAGCUUAUUCCUUCAAUGGAACUAGAUGGUGGUUCUGGUCCCUAUCCCUACAGGUCAAAGGUGGGCACAUUUACUUGUUGAAUGUGUAAUCUCAUAUAUGAUCUAGAGCUAGGGGUGCAGGGAUAAGGGGGCAGUAGCAAUUUUGUCAUUUUUUGGGAAAUUUGUUUCAGAAGGUAUAUGUUGCUCUUUGUGAACUAACAUUCUCUCUAAUAUUUGCAGAUGUAAAAGAUAUAAAAUGUGUGAUCAAUUAUGAUUUCCCGUAAAGCCUUGAAGAUUAUGUUCACAGGAUCAGAUGAACAAGUAGUGCAAGUGCUAGAGGGACUGCUUUUACCUUAUUUACUCAUGCAAAUGCAAAGUUUGCCAGAGAUCUUAUUAAGAUCCUACAAGAUGGCAGACAAGUCGUUAGUCCAACAUUGGUUGCAAUGGCCCGGUCAAGUGGUUCUCAUGGUGGAGGUUCAGGGGGGAACUUCUGCUCAAGGGGAUGGGGAUGUGGUGGUUUUGACAAUCGAGCUUGUUUUGAUUUCUGGAUGCAACACCGUACCACUUGGUACAAGGAAGCCUUGGUAGCGCCUAUUCUUCAGUGGGACGGUGAACUGUGCUGACAACAUAGGUGUGAAUAACCUAUACAUCAUUUUUGUGAAAGGGAUCAAGGGUCGUCUCAACAGAUUGCCGUCAACCUGUGUUGAUGACAUGAUGAUGGCCACCAUGAAGAAGGGGAAGCCUAAUCUCAAGAAAAAGGUCAUGCAUAUUGUCAUUGUUCGAUAACAAAAGCCAUGGUGCCAAAAGGAUGGUGUCUACAUGUACUUUGAAGGUCAAUUAUUUUUCAUUUUGUUCUGUUGUUUUCUUUCUUUGUUAUGUUUUAUGUUUUCUUUUUGUUCCCUUUCAAAUGCACCGGUAUAUCUAAUCAAAGUUUUUUUCAUUUUUUCUCUUCUUUAUUGUUUUUUUUUUUUCCAUGAGAUUUUAAAGCUUCAUGUCUUUAAUCUGAUUAUGAUGGCUCUUUUUAUUGUAUUCGUCAGUAACUUGUAUUUUGUUAGCAUCGAAGUAACUUGUAUUA